CUUAUUGUUUCUUUCUUUCUUUCUUUGCUUUUUACUUUCCAUUCCUCUGCUCUGCUUCUAUUUUAAGGACUGAAAAUGAAGUAAGGAAUAAGAGAGGUUAGUUUUCAUUUAUGUGUAGUCUUACUUUCUAGUGGAAAAAAAAACACAAGGCCACGAGUAAAUGCUCUGAAGAAAAUAAAACACUGCAAGGGAUAUCUUGGUUUAAGGCUAGUGAGAAGAGGGUAGGAGGACAAGAGAGGAUGCUGGAAGUACAGUUGGAAGCCAUUGAAGAAUUCCAGGUGAUCGUGAUGGUUUGAAUUAUGGACUAAUUAAAAGAAGAACCAAUGAGACCAGACAUAAGGAGGGAAACUUAAGAAAAAAGAAAGAAGAAACAAGUCUUUUCCAAACUCUAUCAACCAGUGGUCAAAGAUAUGGUGAGUUAAUAUGUUUCUCCUGUUCCCCCCCACCCACCAUUUCUGUCAAGCAUAAAAAAUAGACCAAUUUGUCACUGCGUCUGCAUAAUGUCAGGAUAAGAGUGUACUGUUCCCUUCCCUUAGCAGAGGUCACUCGAAAGAGUGUCUCCAAGAUUGUCUGAAGGAAAACAAAUGAGCAAGCCCAGAAAUUGGAGGCGAGGUGCUCUGCUGUGGCGGGGGAAAUGCCGAGAUGAUGACUUUUGGAAAAUUGCAUCGGGUUUAUCCAACACAGGACUGUUUUAAUCACUGCACCGGGGGACCUGCUUCAAGGACGGAUGGAUAAUGCAUGUUUCAGAGAGGCUGAUAGGGAGAUAGUGCGGAUCCUCAAACGUCUUGAACAGGCCAUUAAGUGAGCAAACGUCCUUGCACAUCUGCUUGGGGGUAUGGGACUCAGAAUUUCAAAGGAAACUUCAAGGUUCCCCUAUGGGCUCAAAGGAGCACUUGGGGAGGCAGACUCCAGCAAGACUCUGGAGAGAGAAAGGAGGCAUGUUCUUCUGCAAAGUCAAGCCCAGUCAGGGCAUAGCACCCCCUCACUGCCCACCC